CUGUUGGAGAGACUGAGCAGUACACACUAUAUUAGGUACAAGGAAGGAGGCCCUGAGCCCCAGGUCAUGGCAGGUGGAACACACCAGAUUGAGGCUUCUCUGCACUUGGUUCCAGGACCUACCCCAGCUGAGCCAGUCAUCAAGAUAUGGGAAGACCUGGACCCCGCAAAGUCUGAGGUCCCAGGCGAGACUGCCAAGGCUUAGGCAGAGGGGGCAGCCAGAACUGCUUCCUCGCAGGCUGUGGCACAUGCAUUCCCAGUGAGCGAAGAUGGCCCUAGUGUCUUUCAGUCAAUGCAGCAUUGCAUCAGUCUGCUCUGAAAAAAGACUGUUACCAUUGAAUGGGAGGUCUUGGCUAGAGGUCUGCAUUUCCUGGGAGAGACCUGCAGUCUGAAGCCAGGAGCUGUGCCUCAUCACCGCCGCGACCAUCUGGGCUGCCGAGUCCACCAUGUCCCACGCCGUCUGGAGGGAGCACCUGGCAGCCACAGUGCCCUCCUCCAUCACGGUGCCAAAUUCUUGGGCCAACGCCUGUGGAAGGGACUCCUUGAACUUAUGGAGGGAGUCCUAUAAAUUAAAGUUGUACCAGCCCAACCAGGGCCUGAUGGUUUGCCACCUGGAACUGCACAUCAAAUACAUCUUAUUCCC